rnacentral:misc_RNA from 1 species
UUCUAGAGGAAAACACUAUAGAGAUACUUUUUGGUACUACAUAUUUAAUUUACUUUAGUAGUAGAUAAACCAUAGGUAGAAAAUAGCUUCUUCUAUGAGGUUUGACUUGCUUGAGUUGGUUUUCUUUGUUUGCAUAGAUUUGCAACAGGAUCACUAUACUUAACAAAAAAAGUGAUAUUGUAGUUAUGCUUUUAUUUGUGUUUUCUGGACUUAUUUCUAACCUCCUACCCUGCGAAAACUAAAAAUCUCGGAUGUGACACGUUAGUCUUGGAAAUUUCUACAGAUGUAUCAGAACAGGAGC